rnacentral:rRNA from 1 species
AAACCUCUUUUAGUAGGGAAGAAGCGUAAGUGACGGUACCUGCAGAAAAAGCACCGGCUAACUACGUGCCAGCAGACGCGGUAAUACGUAGGGUGCAAGCGUUGUCCGGAAUUAUUGGGCGUAAAGAGCUCGUAGGCGGUUUGUCGCGUCUGCUGUGAAAACCGGAGGCUCAACCUCCGGCCUGCAGUGGGUACGGGCAGACUAGAGUGCGGUAGGGGAGAUUGGAAUUCCUGGUGUAGCGGUGGAAUGCGCAGAUAUCAGGAGGAACACCGAUGGCGAAGGCAGAUCUCUGGGCCGUAACUGACGCUGAGGAGCGAAAGCAUGGGGAGCGAACAGGAUUAGAUACCCUGGUAGUCCAUGCCGUAAACGUUGGGCGCUAGAUGUAGGGGCCAUUCCACGGUUUCUGUGUCGCAGCUAACGCAUUAAGCGCCCCGCCUGGGGAGUACGGCCGCAAGGCUAAAACUCAAAGGAAUUGACGGUGGCCCGCACAAGCGGCGGAGCAUGCGGAUUAAUUCGAUGCAACGCGAAGAACCUUACCAAGGCUUGACAUAUACCGGUAACGGCCAGAAAUGGUCGCCCCGCAAGGUCGGUAUACAGGUGGUGCAUGGUUGUCGUCAGCU